AGAGCGAACGCUGGCGGCAGGCUUAACACAUGCAAGUCGAGCGGGCGUAGCAAUACGUCAGCGGCAGACGGGUGAGUAACGCGUGGGAACGUACCUUUGGUUCGGAACAACACAGGGAAACUUGUGCUAAUACCGGAUAAGCCCUUACGGGGAAAGAUUUAUCGCCAAAAGAUCGGCCCGCGUCUGAUUAGCUAGUUGGUGAGGUAACGGCUCACCAAGGCGACGAUCAGUAGCUGGUCUGAGAGGAUGAUCAGCCACAUUGGGACUGAGACACGGCCCAAACUCCUACGGGAGGCAGCAGUGGGGAAUAUUGGACAAUGGGCGCAAGCCUGAUCCAGCCAUGCCGCGUGAGUGAUGAAGGCCCUAGGGUUGUAAAGCUCUUUUGUGCGGGAAGAUAAUGACGGUACCGCAAGAAUAAGCCCGGCUAACUUCGUGCCAGCAGCCGC
rnacentral:rRNA from 1 species